CAUGGUCGUCCCGCCAUGGCACUGUCGCGGGGACUGCCCAGGGAGCUGGCCGGGGCUGUGGCCAGGGUCCGGGUGCUGGUGGUGGGCACGGGUGGCAUCGGCUGUGAGCUCCUCGUGCUCACCGGCUUCUUCCACAUCAACCUGAUUGAUCUGGAUACUAUCUACGUCAGCAACCUCAACAGGCAGUUUUUUGUUUCAAAAGAAACAUGUUGGAAGAUCAAAGGCCCAGGUUGCCAAAGAAAGUGUCCUGCAGUUUUACCCAAAAGCUAAUAUCUUAGCCUACCAUGAUAGCAUCAUGAACCCUGACUAUAAUGUAGAAUUUUUUCAACAAUUUAUAUUGGUUAUGAAUGCUUUAGAUAACAGAGCUGCCCGCAACCAUGUUAAUAGGAUGUGUCUGGCAGCUGAUGUUCCUCUUAUUGAGAGUGGAACUGCUGGUUAUCUUGGGCAAGUAACUACCAUCAAAAAGGGUGUAACUGAGUCUUAUGAAUGUCAUCCCAGACCAACCCAGAGCACUUUUCCUGGCUGCACAAUUCAUAACAACCCCUUCUGAACCUAUUCAUUGCAUCGUUUGAGCAAAGUACUUGUUUAACCAGUUGUUUGGGGAAGAAGAUGCUAAUCAAGAAGUACCCCCUGACAGCUGACCCUGAAGCUUCCUGGGAACCAAUGGAAGCUGAAGCCAGGGCCAGAGCAUCUAACGAAGAUGGUGACAUUAAACGUAUUUCCACUAAGAAAUGGGCUAAAUCAACUGGGUAUGUUCUGGUUAAACUUUUUACCAAGCUUUUUAAAGAUGAUAUCUGGUAUCUGUUGACAAUGGACAAACUGUGGCGGAAAAGGAAACCUCCAGUUCCAUUGGACUGGGCUGAAGUACAAAGUCAAGGAGAAGAAACCAAUGCAUCAAACUGCAGUUAGGUCUGAAAGACCAGCACAUUCUAGAUGUAAAGAGCUAUGCAUGUCUUUUUUCAAAGAGCAUUGAGACUUUGAGAGUUCAUUUAGCAGAAAAAGGGGAUAGAGCUGAGCUCAUAUGGGACAAGGAUGACCCAUCUGCAACGGAUUUUGUCACCUCUGCUGUGAACCUCAGGAUGUGUAUGUUCAUUAUGAAUAUGAAGAGCAGAUUUAAUAUAAAAUCAAUGGCAGGAACAUUAUUCCUGCUGCUACUAAGGCAGUGAUUACUGGGUUAAUAGUAUUGGAAGGAUUGAAGAUUUUAUCAGGAAAAAUAGACCAGUGUAGAACAAUUUUUUUGAAUAAACAACCAAACCCAAGAAAGAAGCUUCUUGUGCCUUGUGCACUGGAUCGUCCUAACCCUAAUUGUUACGUAUGUGCCAGUAAGCCAGAGGUGACUGUUCGGCUGAACGUCCACAAAGUGACUGUUCUCACAUUACAGGAUAAGAUAAUGAAAGAAAAAUUUGCUAUGGUAGCACCAAGUGUCCAAAUUGAAGAUGGGAAAGGAACAAUCCUAGCAUCUUCAGAAGAGGGAGAGACAGAAGCUAAUAAUCACAAAAAGCUGUCAGAAUUUGGAAUUAGAAAUGGGAGGCGGCUUCAAGCAGACAACUUCCUUCAGGACUACACUUUAUUGGUCAACAUCCUUCAUAGUGAGGACCUAGAGAAGGAUGUUGAAUUUGAAGUUGUUGGUGAUGCCCCAGAAAAAGUGGGGCCCAAACAAGCCGAAGAUGCUGCCGAAAGCAUAACCAAUGGCAGUGACAACGGAGCUCAGCCUUUCACCUCCACCACACAAGAGCAAGAUGAUGUGCUCGCAGUUGAUUCCGAUGAAGAAGGUCCUUCAAAUAAUGAUGACAUCAGUGAGGAAGAGAGAAGUCGCAAGAGGAAAUUAGAUGAGAAAGAGAAUAUCAGUGCAAAGAGGUCCCACUCAGAACAGACAGAAGAGCUUGAUGAUGUUUUAGCAUUAGAUUGA